GAUGAACGCUGGCGGCGUGCCUAAUACAUGCAAGUCGAGCGAACGGACGAGAAGCUUGCUUCUCUGACGUUAGCGGCGGACGGGUGAGUAACACGUGGAUAACCUACCUAUAAGACUGGGAUAACUUCGGGAAACCGGAGCUAAUACCGGAUAAUAUUUUGAACCGCAUGGUUCAAAAGUGAAAGACGGUCUUGCUGUCACUUAUAGAUGGAUCCGCGCUGCAUUAGCUAGUUGGUAAGGUAACGGCUUACCAAGGCGACGAUGCGUAGCCGACCUGAGAGGGUGAUCGGCCACACUGGAACUGAGACACGGUCCAGACUCCUACGGGAGGCAGCAGUAGGGAAUCUUCCGCAAUGGGCGAAAGCCUGACGGAGCAACGCCGCGUGAGUGAUGAAGGUCUUCGGAUCGUAAAACUCUGUUAUUAGGGAAGAACAAAUGUGUAAGUAACUGUGCACAUCUUGACGGUACCUAAUCAGAAAGCCACGGCUAACUACGUG
rnacentral:rRNA from 1 species